UACGUAGGUGGCAAGCGUUAUCCGGAAUUAUCGGGCGUAAAGAGGGAGCAGGCGGCAGCAAAGGUCUGUGGUGAAAGACUGAAGCUUAACUUCAGUAAGCCAUAGAAACCGGGCAGCUAGAGUGCAGGAGAGGAUCGUGGAAUUCCAUGUGUAGCGGUGAAAUGCGUAGAUAUAUGGAGGAACACCAGUGGCGAAGGCGACGAUCUGGCCUGCAACUGACGCUCAGUCCCGAAAGCGUGGGGAGCAAAUAGG
rnacentral:rRNA from 1 species